rnacentral:pre_miRNA from 1 species
GACAGUGUAGAUCUCAGCCCUCUAAAACAAAUCCAACGACUGAGAUUCGUCCACGUCAUCACGAGUUAAAAACCAACGACUGAGAUUCGUCCACGUUAUCACGAGUUAAAUUUUAACUCGUGAUGACAUGGACGAAUCUUAGUCGUUGGAUUUGUUUUGGAGGGCUGAGAUCUACGCUGUC